GGGAAGUUGGCUCAGUGGUAGAGUGCUUGCCUCCCAUGCAAGAGGCCCUGGGUUUGAUUCCUCAGUACCA
rfam:Dipodomys ordii contig_3393, whole genome shotgun sequence.